UGACGACGAGACGCUACGGCGUCGAAGCAGUCUAUGUCAGACUUCCAAGAAAAGCUUGCACUGUCAAAAACAAAUAAUGCCUGUACCAUAACCGACACAGGUGGGUAGGUAGAGUAUACUAAGGGGCGCGAGAUAACUCUCUCUAAGGAACUCGGCAAAAUGACUCCGUAAUUUCGGGAGAAGGAGUGCCUUAUUUAUAAGGUUGCAAUAACAAGAUCCAAGCAACUGUUUAUCAAAAACACAGGUCUCCGCUAAGUCGUAAGACGAUGUAUGGGGGCUGACGCCUGCCCAGUGCCAGAAGGUUAAAGAAGUUGGUUAGUGUAUGCGAAGCUGAUGACUGAAGCCCUGGUGAACGGCGGCCGUAACAAUAACGGUCCUAAGGUAGCGAAAUUCCUUGUCGGGUAAGUUCCGACCCGCACGAAAGGCGUAAUGAUUUGGAUACUGUCUCGGAGAGAGGCUCGGUGAAAUAGACUUGUCUGUGAAGAUGCGGACUACCUGCACCAGGACAGAAAGACCCUAUGAAGCUUUACUGUAACUUGAAAUUGGAAUUGGACUUUGCUUGCGCAGUAUAGGUGGGAAGCGUUGAAGAUAUUCUUGCGGGAGUAUUGGAGCUAUCAGUGAGAUACCACUCUUGUAAUGUUAGAUUUCUAACUUUGAACCAUAAUCUGGUCAAAGAACAGUUUCAGGUGGGCAGUUUGACUGGGGCGGUCGCCUCCCAAAUGGUAACGGAGGCGUACAAAGGUUUCCUCUGAACGGAUAGAAAUCGUAUCUAGAGUGUAAAGGCAUAAGGAAGCUUGACUGUGAGACCUACAAGUCGAGCAGGGACGAAAGUCGGUCUUAGUGAUCUGACGGUACUGAGUGGAAAGGCCGUCACUCAACGGAUAAAAGUUACUCUAGGAUAACAGGCUGAUCUCCCCCAAGAGUUCACAUCGACGGGGAGGUUUGGCACCUCGAUGUCGGCUCAUCGCAUCCUGGGGCGGUAGUACGUCCCAAGGGUUGGGCUGUUCGCCCAUGAAAGCGGUACGCGAGCUGGGUUCAGAACGUCGUGAGACAGUUCGGUCCAUAUCCGGUGUAGGCGUUAGAAUAUUGAGAGGAGCCUUCUUUAGUACGAGAGGACCGAGAAGGACACACCGCUGGUGUACCAGUUAUCGUGCCAGCGGUAAACGCUGGGUAGCUAUGUGUGGAGUGGAUAACCGCUGAAAGCAUCUAAGUGGGAAGCCCACCUCAAGAUGAGUAUUCUCA
rnacentral:rRNA from 1 species